AGGAUGGGGGUUGCACAAAGCCUGCUUGUAUUACUGCUGAUCACUGCCUUGUGCAGUUCCCAGCUGGUUGUAGACUACAGCAUCGCACCCUACACUGGAGACCUAUCCCGCUUUGCCACAUUAGUGUGGCUGCGACCUGCACACUGCCUGUUUGACAUGUGGGUGGCCCAGACACCCAACAUUGUGGACCGACCCCGCUCCACAAUGUCCAUAGUGGUUGAUGUUUUGAGAGAAGCAGACAACAGCACGUUUAUAUUGCCCCAGAAAUACCCCGUGCCUCUCUGUAAAGACUUCCCCUCGGCACCACUGGAGCCUGCCUACCGAAUGGGCCCCAGAAUGGCUUGCAGGAAUGGCUCCUGCAUUGAGAAUGUGUUGCCAGGACAGGC